rnacentral:rRNA from 1 species
GCGGGACACGUGGUAUCCUGUCUGAAUAUGGGGGGACCAUCCUCCAAGGCUAAAUACUCCUGACUGACCGAUAGUGAACCAGUACCGUGAGGGAAAGGCGAAAAGAACCCCGGCGAGGGGAGUGAAAAAGAACCUGAAACCGUGUACGUACAAGCAGUGGGAGCCUCUUAAUGGGGUGACUGCGUACCUUUUGUAUAAUGGGUCAGCGACUUAUAUUCUGUAGCAAGGUUAACCGAAUAGGGGAGCCGAAGGGAAACCGAGUCUUAACUGGGCGUUAAGUUGCAGGGUAUAGACCCGAAACCCGGUGAUCUAGCCAUGGGCAGGUUGAAGGUUGGGUAACACUAACUGGAGGACCGAACCGACUAAUGUUGAAAAAUUAGCGGAUGACUUGUGGCUGGGGGUGAAAGGCCAAUCAAACCGGGAGAUAGCUGGUUCUCCCCGAAAGCUAUUUAGGUAGCGCCUCGUGAAUUCAUCUCCGGGGGUAGAGCACUGUUUCGGCAAGGGGGUCAUCCCGACUUACCAACCCGAUGCAAACUGCGAAUACCGGAGAAUGUUAUCACGGGAGACACACGGCGGGUGCUAACGUCCGUCGUGAAGAGGGAAACAACCCAGACCGCCAGCUAAGGUCCCAAAGUCAUGGUUAAGUGGGAAACGAUGUGGGAAGGCCCAGACAGCCAGGAUGUUGGCUUAGAAGCAGCCAUCAUUUAAAGAAAGCGUAAUAGCUCACUGGUCGAGUCGGCCUGCGCGGAAGAUGUAACGGGGCUAAACCAUGCACCGAAGCUGCGGCAGCGACACUAUGUGUUGUUGGGUAGGGGAGCGUUCUGUAAGCCUGUGAAGGUGGCCUGUGAGGGGUGCUGGAGGUAUCAGAAGUGCGAAUGCUGACAUAAGUAACGAUAAAGCGGGUGAAAAGCCCGCUCGCCGGAAGACCAAGGGUUCCUGUCCAACGUUAAUCGGGGCAGGGUGAGUCGACUCCUAAGGCGAGGCCGAAAGGCGUAGUCGAUGGGAAACAGGUUAAUAUUCCUGUACUUGGUGUUACUGCGAAGGGGGGACGGAGAAGGCUAUGUUGGCCGGGCGACGGUUGUCCCGGUUUAAGCGUGUAGGCUGGUUUUCCAGGCAAAUCCGGAAAACCAAGGCUGAGGCGUGAUGACGAGGCACUACGGUGCUGAAGUGACAAAUGCCCUGCUUCCAGGAAAAGCCUCUAAGCAUCAGGUAACAUCAAAUCGUACCCCAAACCGACACAGGUGGUCAGGUAGAGAAUACCAAGGCGCUUGAGAGAACUCGGGUGAAGGAACUAGGCAAAAUGGUGCCGUAACUUCGGGAGAAGGCACGCUGAUAUGUAGGUGAAGCGACUUGCUCGUGGAGCUGAAAUCAGUCGAAGAUACCAGCUGGCUGCAACUGUUUAUUAAAAACACAGCACUGUGCAAACACGAAAGUGGACGUAUACGGUGUGACGCCUGCCCGGUGCCGGAAGGUUAAUUGAUGGGGUUAGCGGUAACGCGAAGCUCUUGAUCGAAGCCCCGGUAAACGGCGGCCGUAACUAUAACGGUCCUAAGGUAGCGAAAUUCCUUGUCGGGUAAGUUCCGACCUGCACGAAUGGCGUAAUGAUGGCCAGGCUGUCUCCACCCGAGACUCAGUGAAAUUGAACUCGCUGUGAAGAUGCAGUGUACCCGCGGCAAGACGGAAAGACCCCGUGAACCUUUACUAUAGCUUGACACUGAACAUUGAGCCUUGAUGUGUAGGAUAGGUGGGAGGCUUUGAAGUGUGGACGCCAGUCUGCAUGGAGCCGACCUUGAAAUACCACCCUU